AUUGAACGCUGGCGGUAUGCCUUACACAUGCAAGUCGAACGGCAGCACGGGUGCUUGCACCUGGUGGCGAGUGGCGAACGGGUGAGUAAUAUAUCGGAACGUACCUUAUUGUGGGGGAUAACGCAGCGAAAGCUGUGCUAAUACCGCAUAAUCCCUAAGGGGGAAAGCGGGGGACCGUAAGGCCUCGCGCAAUUAGAGCGGCCGAUACCUGAUUAGCUAGUUGGUGCGGUAAAGGCUCACCAAGGCAACGAUCAGUAGCUGGUCUGAGAGGACGAUCAGCCACACUGGGACUGAGACACGGCCCAGACUCCUACGGGAGGCAGCAGUGGGGAAUUUUGGACAAUGGGGGCAACCCUGAUCCAGCAAUGCCGCGUGAGUGAAGAAGGCCUUCGGGUUGUAAAGCUCUUUUGUCAGGGAAGAAACAGCAGCUCUAACACAGUUUGCGAAUGACGGUACCUGAAGAAUAAGCACCGGCUAACUACGUGCCAGCAGCCGCCGUAA
rnacentral:rRNA from 1 species